UCAUCAGAUAGGGGCUAAGAACACUUGCAGUUGCAGACGGAGCAGCAAAGACAAGAGAGAGCAAGCGCGGUGCUUAAUUAACUAUCUCUAUCUGCGUGAGUCGGAAGUGUGGUUAACAUCGAUCUAGAAGAUGGUGUCUCUUGCAAAGAUCAGCGGCAGCAGCGGAGCGUGGCGGGCGCCGGCGCCGGUGAGGCAGCUGUACUGGAGGGUGAGGAAAGCGGUGCUGCGACGACCGAGGCGCGACGAGGCGAGGUUCGGAUACGACCUGCAGAGCUACUCCCGAAACUUCGACGACGGCCAGCAGCUCGUCUUCGCUUAGUGGAGCGUCUAGUCCAGUGUAAAUGCAGAGUAGCUCUUUCCGUUUCCGUUUUCUUUAGGUUGGGGAGCUCGAAUCGACAGGUGGACUUGUUACUGUAGGCAGUACCAUGUGUGUACAAAUGUACAUGCAGAUUUAUACCUUUCAGUUAUAUAUGUCGUUGACUUCUCACCGCCCAGUUAAAUUAGUGUAUUGACUUGUGAAUAUGAUGUUUGAGACUUGAGACAAAGCUAGCAAAGCCAAAAUAUUGGCAGCAUAUGACAUUUUGGCUUUGUUUCCAAACGUGCAUCUAGCAAUCUCUCUAAUAGAUUCUUGCCGUAUGUUUGGUCAAGUGUGUACUCAAAAAUUAUUGGUCAAAAAAUUGGCAAGCCAAAAUUUGCCUAGAUUCGGAAGGGCUAUGUUGGGUGUGAACCAAACAUACUUGUAGCAGCGCAGCCAUUCACCCAUUUUGGGUUGCUUGUCCCCGACUGGCCGUAGAAACAGUACAUGCUAAUCAAGUCUUUUUUUUUCUUUAAAAACAGUCAGCUUAUAUUCCCUCAGAAACAGAGAACAUGGCACAUCUUUAAGUUUGGAGUAUUGAGGUUCAGAAGGGAACUAAGCACCGGGCACAUGGACGGAUCCAGAGUAUACUGAGUGGGGGUCCCAGGCCCCUAGUUAAUUACUAUGUUUAUACUAAAUAACGUAGAAUUUCACCUUUAAUGCCCCUCACUCAGUCUUUUUUUAGAAAUUGGAAACUUUAUUACCUCCGGCCUCUGCAUCUAGGAUGCACACGGUCUAAAGUUUUACAUUAUUUGUGACAAUUUGCAAACACAUGACACCAUCAAAAAAUGUGACAGGCCACACAUGAAACCGCUCUACAUACUAAGUAACCCAGAGCUAGCACGCCACCCAAACCGGGACAUAAACUCCCUGGUGAUCCACUCUAGUCGCUUGGUGCCAGACUCCAUCGGUUCCUUGUGCUGCACCUUCUAUAACAACGCCCACAAUCGCAGCCAAUUUGUACAUAAGAGCAACACCUGCAUACAAGAACGCACUUCCUUCCUGUCAAAAACAAUGUUAUUACGGCAUAACCAAAUGGACCAAAAAACUGCUGCGGCCCCUACUAAAAUGAAGGAACGUAAAUUCUUGUCCACCCCCGCAACCAAGGACCAAAAAUAUGAGCUAUAUUGUUCAGAGGUAAAAUGUUAAAAGCCACCUGGACUGCUCUCCAAGCAACCUUCGCCAUCGCACAAUCAAAAAAGAGGUGCUGGAUAGACUCAUGUUCGUAGCAGAAAACGCAACGGGUAUCCCCUUGCCAUCUACGCUUAGUCAAGUUGUCUUUUGUUAGAAUAACUCCUCAACAAAGAAACCAAAGAAAGACUUUAAUUUUGAGUGGUAAUUUUAAGCGCCAAAGCAAUUUUGACAUAAAGCGGACCGAUGCCCCGCACCCCCACUCACUCUACUAAAAGGCUCCCAUUCUUUGUGGUAUUAUGUAGUUUGGUUUAGUUUUCUUAAGAGUGCCCCAGUCAUUUUUUGCCCUGGAUCCGCCCCUGACCGGGCAUCCAGCAUCCCUAUGAGCCAUGUUAAUACGAGCAACGGGGUCUGGGAAGAGCCACUCGAGUUAAUUAAAAUUAAGGCUAAGUUUGGCCAACAGUUAUUUUAUUGUACAAAUUUACGCAAACACCCGCGUAAGCUGUUCCCAAAGAUCUGCGAGUACAUCUAACCUGAGCGGGGGCCAUACAGGGACACGACGACAUACUCAGAGGUACCCCAUGGGACCGGUAAAGAAGCCUGGUGGGUUACUUGAAAAUGAGCGCAGUGAGUUCUAUUUCAAUAUGACCUUGAAGUGCUACUCCUGGAGGAGGAGAUAACUGCCAUGCCAGAUUAGGAUGUGUGUUCAGUUAUUUCGCUUUGGUUCGGUUAUUCGGUUUAUGUAUUUCGGUAAACUGGUUUUUAUAUAAAUACAUGGUUCGGUUUUUGUAAUAAUCAUUCAGUUUUGGUUUGGUUUCGGUAAUAACCAAAUUAACCGAAGAUGACAUGAAUUAUUUUCAAAGACUACGUAAUUUUUUGCCACUCUUUUGAUUUUUAGUUGGGCCUUAACCGUUCACAUUGUACACUAAUAUACUGAUAUUAAACCUUGAAAGUCGUAAAAAUUGAAGCAGCAUGGCACUUGUAGUCUUGUACAAAUCACAAGCAAUAUCAUUGUACACUCACACAAUCACGUAUUGCCGUUCAGGAAAGAAAAAAAAUUGCAUUGUUUACACCGCCAGAACCGGCGCCAAGCCAUAAUGAAGCCUAAUCCAGUCAUCAAGAACCAACCCAAUCGACCAGAAUUAACUUGGAAACUAACCCUAGGCCCAAUUAAGUUCCAAAACACGUCCAACUAGCCAAAAAAAAAAUCCAUCCAGACUUGGGCCAGGCCAGAGGCUCAAAGGCGAAGACAUUGUCAUUUUUUAUUUAUGAAAAGACCGAAGUAAAACCCCUAAAACAUAAUUAUGAACAUCAGGAUUUGAACUCUGUUGGGUGGAGUCAUGCACCCACGACUCCACCAUGACAACAAGACAUUGUCAUUCUCAUUUUCCGGUUAACCAUUUUUGGUUUUUAAUUGGAUGGCAAUUUUAGGGUCGACAUUUAGAGGAAUGAAGAUAAUUUUACGAAAAUUAAUUGCAAGGCGGGUUACAUCAGAAAAGUGGUCUAAGAUCAGGGUGUCCUCAGCGUAGGGUAGUGCCAGGGAGGUCAUCUCGGAUAGGGUGCAAAAUGGUGUUUAGUGUAAAUUCUUGCCUAAUCAAGUGUCUUUUGGAGCUUGAUAUAAAGAAGAGAAACAAUAGGAAAUGAGGUGUUGUUGUUCCAGAAAACAACAGGAGUACGGGGUGCUAAUGCACGAUGGUACAAAUGCGAGAAUAAUGUGUAGGGGGUGUACGUCUGCCUUAUAGCGAAGGUCGCCGUAUACUUGGGACAAGUUGACACGUCGAUAUUUUUUGAAUAGGUUCGGUCGACCCUGCGGGUACGACUUAGUUCUAUGUUAGGAGAGACUUCGAGGGGGUCGUUAGCCAAGUGCUUGGGCCGAACUUGUCUUCCCAAGUCACCUAUAGCGAGAGAUUUCUAGAGACCGUCUCGGACUUGGGCCAAACUUGUCUUCCCAAGUAGCGAGGUUGGGAUACCCUCGAGACUCUAACCCGAUCCCUCUACUUCGAGUCGAGGUCAUACUAGAUGGCCCGGAAUCUCGAAACUAGACUUCCCAAGUCGCGUCCCCGAGGUCGAGUCGAGACUAGUCUCGACCCCAGCACUCGAGAACGGGCUCCUUGGGUUGCUCUAACCCUCUUCCUUUGAUCUUAUUUCAAUGGAGAGUGAAUGAUACAUGCCCUCAUGGGGGGUAUUUAUAGCCUAGGGGUCCAUGACAAAAGACCAUAGCUACUCUUGAGGGAGAGAGAAAGUGAGGGUAAGGUGGUAAAUUCAUCCCUAGAGUUUUCUUGACCCCUACUCUAACUCCUUUGACCAUGGUAUGGGAGGUUUGACCCUUUAACUCUUUUGACCGGUGCUUAGUUAGCAUGGCUAUGCCUUGUUGACGAUUUGACCGGUCUUUAGAAUUUGUUGACUUGGUCGUCGCCACGUAGGAUUGCGUCCCGACCCAUGUAAGGAUUUUAUUAUAUUACAACAUGAGGAAAGGAAGAGAAGGCACGAAAAGGGGCACUGAAAUGUGCUAUGUUUGUGUGUGUUUUCUAAAAUUUAAAUAUGCUUAUCUGUUAGCAUUUUUACUUUCGAAAAAAAGGUUGAAACCCCAUCCUCGGUUAUAUCUGCUAGCCAGCCUAUGAUGUGCUCUGAACAAAAAUGUGCUGGCAUAUGUUUGCUGUAAUCACUAUGGCCAGGAUAUUUUAUUCUAUUACCAGCCUUUCCCCUAUUUUUUGUUUUUUAUUAUCCUUUUUGGAAAUUUCUUUUAUGCGAUCGGCUUGGACAUGCUUAGCAGUUGAAAACCUGGAACUACUUCAGCAAAAAGAUGGUGAUAUUCUCAAGGGAAUAAUGGAUUGCCUGCUUCCUUUUCUACUAUUCAUAAGAAGAAGAGAUCUGUUUACCUUUGCAGCAAAUCAGGUUUUGCAAGUUGACGAAUUUUGAGCAACUAUUAGACUAGGCUAUUGUGACGCGGAAGUGAUGUCAUUAUAUAUCUCUUGAAAAAUUUCUAAUGCUAUAACUUUUAUACAUAUGUACGAAAUAUUAUUUGACUACUAGUUGAUCAAAAUUUAACAUGAACUUUUGUGUUAGCCUUAUAUAUUUGAAGAAGUGAGUACGUACCAACCUAAAUAACUUGAUCCUAUUCGGAUAAUGUUAAACGCCCCAAAGUACAAUAAACCUUUGCCAUGUUUGUGACUGUAUCGCGGUGUUGACCUUGUCAACUUGCUCUUAAUCUAAGGAUAAGAUCAUACGAUUUGCCAAUUGCUUCGUACCUGCAAAAGGCGGUUUGGUCUGAUGAAAAAGCGCCCUUUGUGCAGUCACCUGCUUGUCAUUCACCUCCCUCCAUGGCACUUUAUUCGUGUACAGAUGUGAUCAUCCUAUCCUGUGAGUCAAAAGAAGAGUAUAUAUAUCUUAAUUGAAUCUACGCUUUUCACUGACCCCGUUGCUUUAGUGCUUGAGCUUUAGCAUAACCAGCACAACAGACGUAUCUUCGAGAAACCUUUGGACGGCUUUUGGGCCCAUUGCCACAUCGAUCUAUGACUGUAAGAUGGCAACGUGGAGAAAGAUGUCUGAAAUUUGCUUUUUGCUAGGACCAUUCUGAUGCGAGGCUGAUCGUGCAUGGUGGAUGCCCUCGUCGGCCCGCGAGUGCGCGGUUGGUGCCGGCCCCGCCGACGACCGCGACGCUUCCAGAUUCCAAGGCUAUAAGCACCUGCCGACGGGCUCAUCUCAGUCAUCUGUGCAACACCGAAGCUACGUACCCAAGAACAACACUCUUGCAUGCAGUUGUAUAGACGGGAGUCCGGUGCUUAAUACAUCUGUUGUAAAAUGGGAUCUCUGGCGGGGCUGUACGGCGGCGGCCGGGGUUCGGCAGGCGCUGCGAAGAUCAACGGCGGCAGCGGACCGUGGCGGGCGCCGGCGCCGGUGAGGCAGCUGUACUGGAGGGUGAAGAAAGCCGUGCUGCGGCGGCCGAAGCGCAGCGAGGCGAGGUUCGGGUACGACCUGCAGAGCUACUCCCGAAACUUCGACGACGGCCAGCUCGUGUCCGCUUAGUGGAUGUAUAGCGUUAGCGUCCAGUGUAAAUGGCUCUCUUUGUUUCUGUUUUCUUUAAGCUGGGGAGCUCGAAGCGGUAGCCACUCGUUGUAUAUAUACAGGGGAGCUCCAAGUUGUAGCUGGACAUCAGGACAUGGGGUGUAUAUAUGUUAGCUUGUAGUAGUACACUCUGUACAUACAGAUUAACACCUUUCAGACUUUCAGUGAUUGGAUAGCCACAAUACCCAUUCAUAAAUCACCCUAUUGCUAGCAAAUAUGAAUCGGUUCUGAAAAUUGGAAAGUACCUGAGCUGAGAACAUAGAUGAUUAUACUAUAUCUUAGAUACCAUUAAAAUUCUUGGACCAUGGUUUGUGUGUUGUCAGCCUAAAUCACUUGCUGCUGGUCCAUUAGUUGGAAUCCUAUUGUCUGAUAUCAAAUGAUGGACCAUGAUGAUGGCUUUAUUCGCUAACUGAACUUCUUGCUACUUGCAGUAUGACCGGCCUCAAAGUCAGACAGUUCUGGUGGAUAACCCCCGGACAAUGAAUGACAAGGGCAAGCUCGUAACCGAACUCAUUGCUAACUAAUACUGUCAACAAACUCUGUCUUUCCAUCACUGGUUAAGAAGAAGCAAAUAUGUGCGUGAUUACUAUUUUUGCGUGUGUAUGAUGAUAUGAUCGUCCAGGUGAGCAAUGUGGCUGUUGGUGUCACCUUAGG
rnacentral:lncRNA from 1 species